GACGAACGCUGGCGGCGUGCUUAACACAUGCAAGUCGAACGGUGAAGGGACCGGUUUUUGCUGGUUCUGGAUGAGUGGCGCACGGGUGAGUAACACGUGAGUAACCUGCCCCCUUCUUCUGGAUAACCGCAUGAAAGUGUGGCUAAUACGGGAUAUUCUGCGCCUGCUGCAUGGUGGGUGUGGGAAAGAUAUUGUUUCGGUGGGGGAUGGGCUCGCGGCCUAUCAGCUUGUUGGUGGGGUGAUGGCCUACCAAGGCGGUGACGGGUAGCCGGCCUGAGAGGGUGGACGGUCACACUGGGACUGAGACACGGCCCAGACUCCUACGGGAGGCAGCAGUGGGGAAUAUUGCACAAUGGGCGCAAGCCUGAUGCAGCGACGCCGCGUGAGGGAUGGAGGCCUUCGGGUUGUAAACCUCUUUCGCCAGUGAAGCAGGCCUGUCCCUUUUGUGGGUGGGUUGACGGUAGCUGGAUAAGAAGCGCCGGCUAACUACGUG
rnacentral:rRNA from 1 species